GACGAACGCUGGCGGCGUGCCUAAUACAUGCAAGUAGAACGCUGAAGGGGGAGCUUGCUUCUCCGGAUGAGUUGCGAACGGGUGAGUAACGCGUAGGUAACCUGCCUGGUAGCGGGGGAUAACUAUUGGAAACGAUAGCUAAUACCGCAUAAUAGUAGAUGUUGCAUGACAUUUACUUAAAAGGUGCAAUUGCACCACUACCAGAUGGACCUGCGUUGUAUUAGCUAGUUGGUGGGGUAACGGCUCACCAAGGCGACGAUACAUAGCCGACCUGAGAGGGUGAUCGGCCACACUGGGACUGAGACACGGCCCAGACUCCUACGGGAGGCAGCAGUAGGGAAUCUUCGGCAAUGGACGGAAGUCUGACCGAGCAACGCCGCGUGAGUGAAGAAGGUUUUCGGAUCGUAAAGCUCUGUUGUAAGAGAAGAACGAGUGUGAGAGUGGAAAGUUCACACUGUGACGGUAUCUUACCAGAAAGGGACGGCUAACUACGUG
rnacentral:rRNA from 1 species